rnacentral:rRNA from 1 species
AAGGCAGCUUGCUGGACCGUAACUGACGUUGAUGCUCGAAAGUGCGGGUAUCAAACAGGAUUAGAUACCCUGGUAGUCCGCACAGUAAACGAUGAAUACUCGCUGUUGGCGAUAUACUGCCAGCGGCCAAGCGAAAGCGUUAAGUAUUCCACCUGGGGAGUACGCCGGCAACGGUGAAACUCAAAGGAAUUGACGGGGGCCCGCACAAGCGGAGGAACAUGUGGUUUAAUUCGAUGAUACGCGAGGAACCUUACCCGGGCUUGAACUGCAGCGGAAUGAUUUGGAAACAGAUCAGCGAGCAAUCGCCGCUGUGGAGGUGCUGCAUGGUUGUCGUCAGCUCGUGCCGUGAGGUGUCGGCUUAAGUGCCAUAACGAGCGCAACCCUUACCGAUAGUUGCCAUCAGGUGACGCUGGGGACUCUAUCGGGACUGCCGUCGUAAGAUGUGGGGAAGGUGGGGAUGACGUCAAAUCAGCACGGCCCUUACGUCCGGGGCUACACACGUGUUACAAUGGGGGGUACAGCAGGCCGCUACCGGGCGACCGGAUGCCAAUCCCUAAAACCCCUCUCAGUUCGGACUGGAGUCUGCAACCCGACUCCACGAAGCUGGAUUCGCUAGUAAUCGCGCAUCAGCCACGGCGCGGUGAAUACGUUCCCGGGCCUUGUACACACCGCCCGUCAAGCCAUG